rnacentral:rRNA from 1 species
GGACCAUCCUCCAAGGCUAAAUACUCCUGACUGACCGAUAGUGAACCAGUACCGUGAGGGAAAGGCGAAAAGAACCCCGGCGAGGGGAGUGAAAAAGAACCUGAAACCGUGUACGUACAAGCAGUGGGAGCACAGGUUUACCUGUGUGACUGCGUACCUUUUGUAUAAUGGGUCAGCGACUUAUAUUCUGUAGCAAGGUUAACCGAAUAGGGGAGCCGGAGGGAAACCGAGUCUUAAUUGGGCGUUAAGUUGCAGGGUAUAGACCCGAAACCCGGUGAUCUAGCCAUGGGCAGGUUGAAGGUUGGGUAACACUAACUGGAGGACCGAACCGACUAAUGUUGAAAAAUUAGCGGAUGACCUGUGGCUGGGGGUGAAAGGCCAAUCAAACCGGGAGAUAGCUGGUUCUCCCCGAAAGCUAUUUAGGUAGCGCCUCGUGAAUUCAUCUCCGGGGGUAGAGCACUGUUUCGGCUAGGGGGCCAUCCCGGCUUACCAACCCGAUGCAAACUGCGAAUACCGGAGAAUGUUAUCACGGGAGACACACGGCGGGUGCUAACGUCCGUCGUGAAGAGGGAAACAACCCAGACCGCCAGCUAAGGUCCCAAAGUCAUGGUUAAGUGGGAAACGAUGUGGGAAGGCCCAGACAGCCAGGAUGUUGGCUUAGAAGCAGCCAUCAUUUAAAGAAAGCGUAAUAGCUCACUGGUCGAGUCGGCCUGCGCGGAAGAUGUAACGGGGCUAAACCAUGCACCGAAGCUGCGGCAGCGACGCUGAUGCGUUGUUGGGUAGGGGAGCGUUCUGUAAGCCUGCGAAGGUGGCCUGUGAGGGUUGCUGGAGGUAUCAGAAGUGCGAAUGCUGACAUAAGUAACGAUAAAGCGGGUGAAAAGCCCGCUCGCCGGAAGACCAAGGGUUCCUGUCCAACGUUAAUCGGGGCAGGGUGAGUCGACCCCUAAGGCGAGGCCGAAAGGCGUAGUCGAUGGGAAACGGGUUAAUAUUCCCGUACUUGGUGUUACUGCGAAGGGGGGACGGAGAAGGCUAUGUUGGCCGGGCGACGGUUGUCCCGGUUUAAGCGUGUAGGUGUGUGUUCCAGGUAAAUCCGGUU